rnacentral:rRNA from 1 species
ACACCCACUAUCCGCCCGGGAACUACGAGCAAAAGCUUAAAACCCAAAGGACUUGGCGGUGCUUUAGAUCCACCUAGAGGAGCCUGUUCUAGAACCGAUAACCCCCGUUCAACCUCACCUUUCCUUGUUUUUCCCGCCUAUAUACCGCCGUCGUCAGCUUACCCUCUGAAGGUCUAAUAGUAAGCAAGACUGGUACAACCUAAAACGUCAGGUCGAGGUGUAGCGUAUGGAAGGGGAAGAAAUGGGCUACAUUCGCUACUACAGCGAACACGGAUGGUGCACUGAAACGUGCGCCUGAAGGAGGAUUUAGCAGUAAGCGGGAAAUAGAGCGUCCCGCUGAAAUCGGCCCUGAAGCGCGCACACACCGCCCGUCACUCUCCCCGAAAACAACCACUCAGUUAAUUAAAACCUAAUAAUCAUAGAGGGGAGGCAAGUCGUAACAUGGUAAGUGUACCGGAAGGUGCACUUGGAAAAAU